GGCGCCGCCGUGUUUUAAGGGCACACUGUAGCGGUGCUCUAGCUAGCGGAGCGUAAAAAUGAGCCCAGAGUACCACUGCUGCCACCUUACACAAAGCGGCGGCAACUCGAGAGCCAAUGCGUGGCGCAUUGCUGAAGCAGCGCCGUUUGUCCACCUUUCCCAUUCUACCACCAUGGAGUAGAGGGACCACGACAGAGUGACCGUAGAGUUGGUUCUUUAUUCUAUGGUAGAGUUGGUAGAUUUCGGUAGAGUGACCUAAAAUAGCGACAAAGCGAGCAAUGGAGGAGCCGUCGCGAGGUCGGCCGCGCAAGUACGCCACUGCGGAAGAAGCGCGGGCCGCUGCGUCUGCACGGUCACGAUGGCGAAGACAGGCGGAUCCCGAACUACGGAAACGAGAAGCGGAACAACGACGGCUACGACGAGCGAAAGAAACCGAGCGACGAUGCGUGCAGCGAGCAGAAGAGACAGAGACAAGAAAGCGAGAAAACGAAGCUCGGAAAUGUGUAGCAGGCCUUCGCCGUCUUGUGUUACAAGGGCGUAACACCUGCCAGGCCACCACCAGCACGGUAGGCAGCGAUGAGCAAAGGGAUGCAAGUGCCUCAGCACAGCAUACGCAUGACACUGGUGUGCAGACUGGCAGCUGCACGAUGGCUACACAAACCCAUUUCAAGAACCCAUCUGUUGGGACCCAGGUCAAAUGGGUGCUUGCUUGUUCAGGACAGCGGUGGUCAAACAGGUGACAUUCUGACAGAUGACUCUGAGGAGACACCUCGAGAGCUAACGUGUCUCUCCUCUACACCUAAACAAAACGUCUACACGCCACCUCUCGGUGCAAACAGGCCAGGCUAUCUUUGAUGACCUGUGUGGCCCUGAUGAAUCUCGACGUGGAUGAGGUGCAUAGUUGUCACAUCAAAAGGGCAUUCUUGACAAGCUAAAACACCAGCCGCUUUCCCUGGCAGGUGAUGGCCAGGUGCGACACACCCGGUCGUUCUGCAAACUUUGGCACAUACUUUGCUGGACACUACCAUGGACAAAGUCGUGCACAUGGAACUUGUCAAGAACAUAAAUUGCUGCUUUUCAUGACAAUGAGAAUAGCAGCAGGGCUUUUCCAGCAGAUAGCAAUGGGGUUCAGGUCGCAGAGAUUUUCUCAAAAGGAAAUGGAAUGGACGAUGCUGCCAGUGAAAGAGAAGUCAAGUUACAAAACCUAUAAACAGCCAGGGGUGGAUGUGCAAUCUGCCUUAUAUUCAGCAUCUGUAGGAUGUCUUGUUCAACUGCAGGACUUCAGAAGCUGCAAAUAGGGGCAUUCAGAUCAAUGCAUUGUAAGUGAAGGUUCAUUGUUCUAAGCAGUGUCACCACCAAAAUUACCACAUCAUAUUGAGAUUAUAUGACAUUAUUAUUAAAAAGAAGGGUGUUAAAAGCUUCCCAACAUUCAUUGUAAGGUAAGAAUUGCAAUGAGUGACAUGGCAAGGUGAGUUUUGUUAAAUGCUGUGGUGCCAUAUUUUUGUUUCAGGAUAUGUGUCCAUUCUCAUCAGCAGUGUGAUGGAUUGCAUCGAGAAGUGGUCAUCCUUCUCUGCAGCUUAACAAGCUUCUGUAUGGCAACAUCACAAACAUCCUUUUCACGAAGCAUGGCCCAGAGCCAACAAACGACGAGUCUAGGAGGAAGCAGUCUUCACGUAUUGCUGCACAGCAGUGUGAAGUGAGGAAGCUGUACCACCCUGCUGGAAUGCCACAAGAAUGCCGAACCAGUCAAAAACGGACCAGGGCCCCCCAAAUGUCUCCCUUGGCAGGGGAUGCGUAUGGUACCGAUGCCGCCAUUCUCUCUUCGGUCACAUUUCUCUCUAUCAUUUUGGUCUUCUGAAAUGCAACUCUUUUCGUGAUUAUAGCAUCCUCAAGAACCUUAUUCUGGCCUAGGUAGGUACUAUGAAAUGUUGCACUUCUUAUAUACAGCCCUUGAGCAGUUUCUGCCAGAUGCAUAACUCAGUUUGAUAUCAGCACACAUGCCCUGCUGCUGCUGCUGUGAAACUGAGCUCUGUGCCCAGCAGGCACUGCGCAAGUGCUGUAGAAAGUGCAACUUUUCAGUCUACCUAGGCUGGCUGCUCAUGCACACAAGCAACUAGACAGAAAUCAAGUAGUGGUGUUAGAAGUAGUAUAGUCUUCCCGCACCUCACUUACUCAGAGCUUUCGGGAGAAGUGUUAGAUGUAUGUACCAAGUACAGGAGUACAGUAAAAGCGAUACAGGAAAUGGAAUCGGCACACUUUUUCUCAUUUUUACAAGCCUCAGCAGGGCCAUAUUUUCCAAAACAUUGGCUAGUGCUCUUUGUGAAGAAAACCAUAGAACCUAGCUCUUUCGAUGAAAAACAAACAAUGAGUGAGCAUUUUCCUCCUUCAUAGUCAAUUUGAGGGCAACGAAAUUGAUGCUAACAGCUAUGGGCUCUCAAGUAUCUGGCUGCUACCCCUGUCGCACAAACUCCUUUGAAGUAACGCAGUGCAACGUGUCUGAAGGGAGUGUAAUCGUAGAGUAAUAAACCAUACACAGCCACCAUGGCCAAGAGUGGUGCUGGUUAACAGUCCAAGGCCGUAUUUAGUAUGCAUACAUAAAUACUCAAGAAAGUAGCUGGUUGCCACCGCAGCUGAAUUGGUCGAGCAACACACACGUAAUGCAGAGGCUUUAGGUGCGGCUCCAAUGUAGCGCAAGUUAUCUCUUCGUCAAAAUUCAUUUCCAUUUUCCUCAUUAUUUUCUGAAUUCCUUUUAACUAUGGCUCGAUUGCUCAAUGCUUUAUAUGCUUUAUAUUUACAUAAACGAGAAUGUCAACAUUGAGAGGUUCUCAAUCUUGACAUGUUCUUGUUUUUGGUUGCCUGGUUAUGUAUAUAUGGUGCUCAU